UGUUCUUCAUUGAGUUUCUUCCCCUGAGUAGAGAUUCCUGGACAUCAGUCAUGACAGGUGGACUUUUGAGGAGUAGCAACCUCUGCAGUUUGGGAGUUCCUGAGAAAUUCAGUCAAAACUAACUGGCAGAAAGAUGAGGAAGUUUCUAUACAAAGUCCAGGAUUAAGCUUUAAAUGAAUCCUCUGGCGGUCCCAGAAUUGAGAGCAAAGCAUCAGCUAUAUGUGUGACCAAACAACAACAACAAAAAAACAAACCUCUUCAUCCACAAGACAGUCUUUCAAAUAUUUUAAAAUAGCUAUAAUACCCAAAUUAAGCCUUUAUUUCUCCAAAGUAUUUUCUUUCAACUGAUCUUUAUAUGUACGAUAUUCUGACCUGUCCAUUAUGAUUAACCUCCCCUGGGUAAAUUUCAUGUUAGUUUGAAAAUAUGACAUCCUGAAUGGAAUAUAGUGACACAGACCUGUCUAACCUGGACAUAGAAGAGAAAAAUUAUAAAGUCAAAUGACAGAAAAGUUUUUCCCACAAAAGUCCUUGGCAGUACCAAAUGGUUCAACAUUAGAAAUGGAUAUGGAUAUGAUUGUUCUUAGCCAGGCAGCAAACAGUUAUUAAGUUAAUUAUACUAAAUAUUUGCUAUACAAAGAAAAAUAAAAGACUACAUUAUAUUUAACUAAAUAUUGGUUGUACAAAGAAAAGUAAAAGAUGAUAGUACCUGGUUUCAAUGAACUAACAAUGUACUGAGGUCAUUAUCAUGUAAACUAUGUAUUUAUUAUGUAUUAAAAAAUAUAUGCAAGGAAAAUUAGAAAUAAAUGAGUUUGCAGUGUACUAAAA